GACGUAGGGCGCGAGCGUUGUCCGGAUUUAUUGGGCGUAAAGGGCUCGUAGGCGGUUUGUCGCGUCGGGAGUGAAAUCAUCUGGCUUAACUGGGUGCUUGCUUUCGAUACGGGCAGACUAGAGGUAUGCAGGGGGAGAACGGAAUUCCUGGUGUAGCGGUGAAAUGCGCAGAUAUCAGGAGGAACACCGAUGGCGAAGGCAGGUCUCUGGGCAUUAACUGACGCUGAGGAGCGAAAGCAUGGGGAGCGAACAGG
rnacentral:rRNA from 1 species